rnacentral:lncRNA from 1 species
AGAGACAGAGGAAAGGCUGAAGGUUGAGUUGAUUACCAGUAGCUCACGAUAUAAUCAUUCAUGCCUACAUAACACAGCUUUCAUAAGAACCCAAUAGGACAGGGUUCAAGGACCCUCUAAAGAAUGCCACACCUAUAGAGGCAUGGAAACUCUUUGCCACUUUCAUCUGACUAUUGAUCUAUAUCCUUUGUAAUGCCUCUUAUAAGAAAUGGGCAGAUUCUAGCAGUGUUUGUGAGAAAAACUGAUGGAUCCUGCAGAUUAACUAUGGACAGCCAAAUAUUGAGUAAAGUGAUGUCUACAACAGCAUCAGCUAUGCCUGAUAUGGUGUUAAUUCACAUUGUGAAGUUCCAAAAUCAGAAGAUGAUACAGAAAGAUUGCUCUGGUUGCCUGGUUUCUGAAGAAAUCGUGUACCCUGUCUGGAUAGUGUCUUACUUCCUAUCCACAAAGUUGUGAAAUAAUCUGGAAUUAAAUGGCAACCUAAACAACCCUAGAGUUGCCUGAACACAGAGCCAUUGCUGUGUUGAUCAUUAUAGCAGUCCUCAAUAGGAAAAAGAUGCCUCCCU